rnacentral:rRNA from 1 species
CCUGGUUGAUCCUGCCAGCAGAAUUUGCUAUCUUUGAAGAUUAAGCCAUGCAUGUCUAAGUUUAAGCAUCUUAAACAGUGAAACUGCGUACAGCUCAUUACAUCAGUUAUUAUUUCUUUGAAGGUUGACUAACUACACGGAUACCCGUAGUAAUUCUAGAGCUAAUACGUGCGUCAAGCCCCGACUUUUAGGAAGGGGUGUGCUUAUUAGUUUCCAAACCCAUGCCCGCAAGGGUAUUUUGGUGAAUCAUAGUAAUCGUUCGGACGCCUCUUUGGAGGCGCGGUUCAUUCAAAUUUCUGCCCUAUCAGCUUUUGACGGUAGUGUAGUGGACUACCGUGGCUAUCACGGGUAACGAGAGAUCAGGGUCUGGUUUCGGAGAGGGAGCCUGAGAGACGGCUACCACAUCCAAGGAAGGCAGCAGGCGCGCAAACUACCCACUCCUGACCCAGGGAGGUGGUAAAGAAAAUUACUGAUGCCGUAUCCCUCACGGGAUAUGGCAAUCGGAAUGAGAGGUAGUUAAAUCUAACUAUCGAAAGCUAAAAGAGGACAAGUCUGGUGCCAGCACCCGCGGUAAUUCCAGCUCUUUAGGCGUAUUUUAUCAUUGUUGCAGUUAAAAAGCUCGUAGUUGGAUUUUUGUCCUUUCGUUUGUUGAAUCUCCAAGUUGGUUUUUCCAAUUUGUGAGAUUUGGCCGAGGACAUUUGUCAAAGUCUAUAAUGGGUAACUAUUAUAGAAUCUUUGGCGUUUACUUUGAGAAAAUUAGAGUGUUUCAAGCGGGCAUUAUUUGCCGUGAAUACUACAGCAUGGAAUAAAACCAACGGGCUUUCGUCCUUUUGGUGGGUUCCGGACCAAGUCAUGAUUGAUAGGGACGGUUGGGGGUGCUCGUAUUCCGAGGCCAGAGGUGAAAUUCUUGGAUUCUCGGAAGACGAACAAUUGCGAAAGCAUUCACCAAGGACGUCUUCUUUAAUCAAGAACGAAAGUUGGGGGAUCGAAGACGAUCAGACACCGUCGUAGUCUCAACCAUAAACGAUGCCAACUGAGAAUUCCUCCCAGUCUCUCGUAUAGGCGUAAAAAACCUAUGCGAAUCGACGAGAGGGGCGCUCUGUGAGAAAUCAAAGUUUUCGGGUUCCGGGGAGAGUAUUGUCGCAAGGCACAAAUUUAAAGGAAUUGAUGGGAGUUUAUCAUCGGGAUUGGAUUGUGCGGCUUAAUUUGACACAACACGGGAAAACUUACCAGGUCCGUACAGAGUAAGGGAAAACAGAUUGAAGCUCUUUUUUGAUUCUUUGGGUGGUGGUGCAUGGCCGUUCUUAGUUGGUGGUGUGGACUGUCUGGUUAAUUCCGUUAACGAACGAGACAAAAGCCCUGAAUUUUUAUAACUAGUUUUUGCUGGGUUCCUAAUCCAGACACAAAACUUCUUAGGGGGACCACUCGCAAUAAGCGGGGGGAAGCAUUUUUCAAUAGCAGGUCAUUGAUGCCCUUAGAAAACCUGGGCCGCACGCGCAAUACACUGGAUGAGUCAGCGUGUUUACAGUUUUCAUAUUAGUAAUAAUAUGAAAAACCUUGCUCGAGAGGGCUGGGAAAUCAUUGAAACUCAUCCGUGCUGGGGAUCGAGCAUUG